UACGUAGGGGGCAAGCGUUGUUCGGAAUUACUGGGCGUAAAGCGUACGCAGGCGGCUAUGCAAGACAGGUGUGAAAUCCCCGGGCUUAACCUGGGAACUGCAUUUGUGAUUGCAUAGCUAGAGUUUGUCAGAGGGGGGUGGAAUUCCACGUGUAGCAGUGAAAUGCGUAGAGAUGUGGAGGAACACCGAUGGCGAAGGCAGCCCCCUGGGACCUGACUGACGCUCAUGUACGAAAGCGUGGGGAGCAAACAGG
rnacentral:rRNA from 1 species